CAUUUUCAAAAGUGUAUGUAGAAAAAAAUUGGUCAUCUGGCUAACUAUUGAUAAAUAAGCUACGUGACGCUCAAAAUAUUGUGGUCAGACUAUAGCGCGGAAGGGGAUUUUCUUAGUGUCACUGAAAAAAAGCUAUGGAUGAAUGAAAUUAACAAAAAAAAAUAUUACAAUACACCUAUUUUGGGGUUUCCUCUUAGUGGUAUAGAAAACUUUGAGGAAUAGAAGGAACAGUGCAAAACAUUGGAAAACAAUAAAAAAAAUGGAAAUCUAAAUAUUGAUUCACCAGUUUGUAAUAUAAAAACUUAAAACAAAAGGAAAUAUCAACUAGCUAUCACCUACCCAACCUUUAAGGAGCCAAAACG